UACGUAGGGUGCAAGCGUUAAUCGGAAUACUGGGCGUAAAGCGUGCGCAGGCGGCUUUGCAAGACAGAUGUGAAAUCCCCGGGCUUAACCUGGGAACUGCAUUUGUGACUGCAUGGCUGGAGUGCGGCAGAGGGGGAUGGAAUUCCGCGUGUAGCAGUGAAAUGCGUAGAUAUGCGGAGGAACACCGAUGGCGAAGGCAAUCCCCUGGGCCUGCACUGACGCUCAUGCACGAAAGCGUGGGGAGCAAAACGG
rnacentral:rRNA from 1 species